CCGCCUACAUGAAGUUGGAAUUGCUAGUAAUCGCAGAUCAGAAUGCUGCGGUGAAUACGUUCCCGGGCCUUGUACACACCGCCCGUCACACCAUGGGAGCCGGUAAUACCCGAAGUCAGUAGUCUAACCGCAAGGGGGACGCUGCCGAAGGCAGGAUUGGCGACUGGGGUGAAGUCGUAACAAGGUACC
rnacentral:rRNA from 1 species